AGUCUCGUAGCUCAGUUGGUCAGAGCACCACACUGAUAAUGUGGGGGUCAGCGGUUCAACUCCGCUCGAGACUA
rnacentral:tRNA from 1 species